rnacentral:rRNA from 1 species
UUUUNCNUACAAUAAGCGGAGGAAAAGAAACUAACAAGGAUUCCCCUAGUAACGGCGAGUGAAGCGGGAAGAGCUCAAAUUUGAAAUCUGGUAGCCUUCGGCUGCCCGAGUUGUAAUCUAGAGAAGUGUUUUCCGUGCCGGCCCAUGUACAAGUCCCUUGGAACAGGGCGUCAUAGAGGGUGAGAAUCCCGUCCUUGACAUGGACCCCCGGUGCUUUGUGAUACACUUUCAACGAGUCGAGUUGUUUGGGAAUGCAGCUCAAAAUGGGUGGUGAAUUCCAUCUAAAGCUAAAUAUUGGCGAGAGACCGAUAGCGAACAAGUACCGUGAGGGAAAGAUGAAAAGCACUUUGGAAAGAGAGUUAAACAGUACGUGAAAUUGUUGAAAGGGAAACGAUUGAAGUCAGUCAUGCUCUUUGGAUUCAGCCGUUCUGCGGUGUAUUUCCAUUGAGUGGGGUCAACAUCAGUUUUGAUCGCUGGAUAAAGGCACUAGGAAGGUAGCACUCUCGGGUGAACUUAUAGCCUAGCGUCAUAUACAGUGAUUGGGACUGAGGAACGCAGCAUGCCUUUAUGGCCGGGAUUCGUCCACGUACAUGCUCUAGGAU